rnacentral:rRNA from 1 species
AUUGAACGCUGGCGGCAUGCCUAACACAUGCAAGUCGAACGGAAACGAUGGGAGCUUGCUCCCAGGCGUCGAGUGGCGGACGGGUGAGUAAUGCUUAGGAAUCUACCCAGUAGUGGGGGACAACCAGAAGAAAUUCUGGCUAAUACCGCAUACGCACUACGGUGGAAAGUGGGGGACCUUCGGGCCUCACGCUAUUGGAUGAGCCUAAGUCGGAUUAGCUUGUUGGUAGGGUAAUGGCCUACCAAGGCGACGAUCCGUAGCUGGUCUGAGAGGACGAUCAGCCACACUGGGACUGAGACACGGCCCAGACUCCUACGGGAGGCAGCAGUGGGGAAUAUUGGACAAUGGGCGCAAGCCUGAUCCAGCAAUGCCGCGUGUGUGAAGAAGGCCUGCGGGUUGUAAAGCACUUUCAGUAGAGAAGAAAAGCCUAGGGUUAAUAACCCUGAGUCUUGACGUAACCUACAGAAGAAGCACCGGCUAACUCCGUG